GCCGUGCUGUUGCACGGGCAUUUAUUGCCUUGUCCCAUAUAUAAACCCCGGGAUCGCAGAGUUCGGUCGGUGUGCAUGUCCGCUACGUGCGGAAAGCCCGAUGACCGACGCGCCUUCCCACCUGAUCCUAGGGAUCAAGGGUUUGUCCGUGUGCGGUAUCGGCAUUGCGGUGCACCU
rnacentral:sRNA from 1 species